rnacentral:rRNA from 1 species
UCUUAUAAAUUAAGACUAGAAUGAAUGGAUAAAUGGGGCAAUUCUUUCUUAAGUUAAAAAUUAAAAAUAAUCUUUUUAGUGAAGAGACUAAAAUGAGAUUGAGGGACGAGAAGACCCUAUUAAGCUUAAUAUAAUUAUUUUGUUGGGGAAACAGAAGAGUAUAUUUUCUUUAAAUAAAUUUUUUGAUAAAUAUUGAUUUAUUAUUAAUAAUAAUAGAAUAAGUUACUAUAGGGAUAACAGCAUAAUUUUUUUUAAAAGUUCUUAUUUACAAAGAAGAUUAUGACCUCGAUGUUGGAUUAGAAAUAUUAUAUGGUGAAGUUGUUGUAUAAAUUAGUCUGUUCGACUAUUAAAUUUCUA